rfam:Spinacia oleracea cultivar SynViroflay scaffold13472.con0009.1, whole genome shotgun sequence.
AUCCCGUGAUGUGGGCAAUCCCUUUGAUAUUCCUUGAAACGGUCCCAAGCCUCGAAUAAGGAAUCAUCCCGCUUUUGUUCAAAUGACUGAAUCCUAUGCCGGUACU